rnacentral:lncRNA from 1 species
CGGAGCUCCGCGACACUGAGCACUGCUCAGAGGCUGCACUCCACCACGGAGGUGGCUCUCGGGAAAGGCCCUGUACAGCAGAAUGUGGGCAAAAUGCAACGGUCUCUCGCGCUUUAACAUAAUUCGGUCCUUCAUCUGCUCAGGGACAAAGGACAGUCUAGGAGGCCUAUGGUCUCAGACACAGAUCUGAAAGAGAGCUCUGGAAGGAACAUGACAGCACCCU